CUUACAGAUUCUCUCUGCCUGCCCUACCCAUCAUAAUUUUUUCUCUCAUUUGUUGGGCACAGAUGACACACUAUUUGGAGUUCAUUCUCUCCUCUGCUACUGGCCUCUUGGGCAAAGAACUGCCCCCACCCCGACUGCUAACCUUGGUCAUGCUGUCCUAACUGUGCUUGCAGGAGAUAAACUUAAAGAAGACUGCUUAACCCUGCCCAGUCAAAAAGAAUACAUCUCUCAACUCUCUUCAUAGAAGUUUCUUUUUGGAGAAGAUGGCAAUUAAUAAAGAAACACACAACCAGUCAAUGUUAACAUGCAAAGAAUAAGAGACUUCGAGAGACUCCCCAUGCUAAAGUAGAUGACCUCAUUCCUAUGAGCAUAAAGACAGCACUGGAUGGAUUCAUUAGAUAUUAAUUUUAAAAAAUGAGAGAAUGAAUCUAGGAUAUACUGAUGUGGAAGCUGUGGAGGUAAAGAGGGGUAGACUUGAUCAAAACAUAUUGUGCAUGUAUGAAUAUGAAACAAAAUAUUACUAUAGCUAAUGGCUGUUUAGAUCAAAGUGCAGUUGGCAAUGGAAAUACGUGGAUAAAUGCUGACGAUAUGUUGUAGAUAGCAUCAACAGGAGUUACUGAGGAAUUAAAUUGUGUAGUGAUUUAAAAAUGAAUAAAGGAUGACUGUUGAUUUAAGAUUUUAGUAACUGAAUAGGGAUUAGAAAUGUAUAGAAUGUAUUAAAGGGUCAAAGAAUAUGCACAGAAAAUAGAGGUUGAAUAUAUCUAUGUUAAGGUUUAUUACAUAUCACCUUUACUCUAGACAUAUUAGGGUAAGAUAUUUCUAGUCUAUAUGAAGGCAAAUCUCAAUGUAUAAAGUAAGCGGGAAAAUCUGUCUUCAGUGGGAAAUUUGUGGCUGUCAAUGCACACUGUACAAACUGGAAAUCAUUAUCAUAAAGAUAUGCUUUCUAUGGAUGUUCAGAGUGGGGGAAACCAACUUAUUAAGGAGAGGGGAGCUUAGGCUGGAGAUUAGGAGCCAGCCCACAUAGCAGUGCAAACAGGAGAUUGCAAAUUAAGAACUUAAAGACAAAGUACAAUCCAGUUAGUUGUGUGGCACUGAUCAAGAUGGAAAGAUUGCAAUCUUUACCAGUUCCCAGCUUCAUGCUACAAUUUGAUGGGAGCCAUAAUGAACACAGCUCAUUGGCUUACAGUUAGGACUCCAUAAAAUUAUAUUUUUUUCUUUGCCGUUUCUGGAAUAACCACACAACAUGGUAACACUAAUGAUGUGCCAGCUAUACACAAAUCUUCAUUAUUGUAGACAGGGAGCAUUUUUGAAGGCUGUCAUUUGGCCUUCAUUUCUAUCCAAUUCCUUUAAUAUCUUAAAAGCCCAGUGAUUACUUAUUUUCUAUGGAAACAAAAUGGUUGAUGGUUUUUUUUUAACUGUAUGUUUCAUAAUAAUUAAAACUGUACCUGCAGCUUAUUAUCAUGUGGUUACUUUCUUUGGUCCCCGUUUGCAUUAGUGUGUGGAAAACUGGAAUGGCUUCUUAAGGCAGUGUGGUCUCAGAUUCCAUUAGGGUUCCAACCUCUACAAAAGUAUGUGUAUUGAAACAACACAAAUUGAAUGGGAGUAGAAGAGGUCAGGUAAAAUAAAGCAUAGUGAGGCAUCAUGUAAAUGGACAGUACUGGAAACAAAUCUCACCAAAACCUGUGCUCCCUCACCCACUUAAUAGUAUUAGCCAGGGAAACUCUCCCUCCAUUUUAAUCAAUAAGUUAUAAAUUUAAGAUCUGUGUUGUAAUAACGUUUCAAUUUUAUUUGUUCAAUGUAGGAAUUCUUCGUUGAGGCUAAAUAAAACAUGCUUUCUAGAAAACAA